CAUGGCCUUCUUUGGCCGAAACAGGGACCUAGAGGUCCCCAUACCUUAGACCAGCCAUUCACGACCGUACCUUAUCCGACGAUGGCCGACGGCAAAGGACGACUCUCCCGAGUUCGGAGAGGCUAGAGCUGGCGGUCGGCGUGACCGUCGGCGCCUUAAAAACCAAGAAAAGGAAGAGGCCGAACAGGGCUUCCCUUUUCCGA
rnacentral:lncRNA from 1 species